GAGGAGGGGGCACCCAGAAGGGGCCCUGAAGUCAAGGGCAUCGUCCAACCUUUCUACCUCCCCAGCUGAAGACAGGCUGGAGGACAAUUCUCCAGAGUUUCAUAACAAAGAAGAGAAAAAAGAAAUCAAAAAGCCCUGGAGGAUAGGGAGUGUGACCACUGUAUGUCAGCCACUGGGGGACCGGCUUCAGCUUACAACCACCUUCCAAAUUCCACCCUCUCACCUUGGCAGAAGCUGGCCAGGAAUUGGGGCCAAUGGAUGGGUGGGGUCUGCACAGGACACCGUAUUCAGGUCCCCAUGACGGCCUCACACAAAGGUGGUGGCCCUGCAGUUCCAGGUGCCACACAAACGCCAGCCCCUGCUCGGGCCCUGAUCUUUGAGGAAGGGGAGCAGCAGAACCCGAGCACUGACCCCACAGUGCCACUCACACCCACAGACGAUUCUCCACAGAGGCAUCAGGUCUCGGUCUUGGCCACCUCCUCCUGCAGGGCCUCAGCUGUUUCCUGGGACUCACGUGGUCCUUCCUCACAUGCAGCUCUGGAUUCAGGGCAGACUCUCUGAAGACCUUGUGGGAAACAGCAGAGUCCAGCAGAGAAGACAAGAAAAGCCCAGCUGCAAAGAUGAAAAAAUGGCAGGUGUGACAUGGGCCCCCCAUUCUGAUUCUGUAUUUAGAUGAGGUCUUCCGGAACACCUGCUCUCAUUGGAUACAACUUCAAAUAUAUAUAUAUACAUAUAUAUAUAUGUUUUGUUUUGUUUUUUUUUUUGAGACAAAAUCUCACUCUGUUGCCCACGCUGGAGUGCAGUGGCGUGAUCUCGGCUCACUGCAACCUCCAUAUGCCAGGUCCUGGUUCAAGCAAUUCUCCUGCCACAGCUUCCUGAAUAGCUGAGAUUACAGACAUGCACCCCCAUGCCGGGCUAAUCUUUUGUACUUUUAGCAGAGACGGCGUUUCACCAAGUUGGCAAGGUUGGUCUUGGAGCCCUGGCCUCGGGUGAUUCACCCAGCUUGCCCUCCUAAAGUGCUAAGAUUACAGGCAUGAGCCACCGUACCCGGCCCAUUGUGGCAGAUUAAUCACAGAGGAAAAGAAGGCCUGGACUCAGCAUGAAGAUGAUGGAAAGGGGUAAGAGCAGCUCUCUACAUACGGUGUUGCCAGCUUCCAAUUUUCAACAUAAGGGACCCUAAAUAGCUUUCCCAACAAAAACAACUGAGAUGUUGGGUAAAACCUACAAAAAUGCAUCUUUGUAAGUGCAUUACUGAGCUGGCAUUGAAGGAUGGAAUCCACAGCAGUCAAUAAAGAAUUGGCGGGAACAAAAGUGGAAUUUCUU
rnacentral:lncRNA from 1 species